CAACGACCUGGACUGUACGAUUACAAAAUGAUAUUCUACGGUUGGUUAAAAGAUGGCGGGUAAGGCAAGGUGGAGCUUUCGUGCAGUUGGAUAAAGUUUUUGGCUUUAUCGUACUUUGGACUUGUUCUAAAACUAAUAGUGUGUGUUGUGUGUACUAUUUCUAAGUUGUUCUCUGCGAGAGUUGGUUGUUUUAAUUGUGUGCAAUAUGCCAGCGUAGGCAGUAUUGAGUCCAUCUACAUCGGUGCGGAAAUUUAUAGUAUUGGAUGUGUUUUGUAUAUGGCACAUUUCCAAUAUUGGUAGAGCGGUGGAUCGGAGAGUGCGAUCUACUAUUUUUGUACCGUCGAGGUCGUUGAUAAUAGGUGUGUCCAGUCCAGUGUCCCCAAACAAAAUCAAAUAGUUAUUUCGUAAGUUUUUGAAUAUGGUAAAAAAUGUUAAAUGUCCCUAAUAAGUGUUAUUUACAAAAUCCAGGCAUACAAGAAGCCCAACAUGAAAAUUGCGGCAUAUAUAAAUGUAACGAAGAACGACAGACAGUGUAGGUGUAGUUUUAUGUUAUGUUUUCUGUUCUAUGUUGUAAUACCAAAAAUGUAUACUCUAUUUUAGUUUACCCUUGAAAAAGGCCAAAUAAACAAGGCCGAAACGUCGGGCAAUACAAAACUAGUCGUUUUGAAUUUCCCCAGACUGAGAAAGCCAGUUAAAAUGCACAAUUUAAUGCUGAUUUCGAAACCAACCUUCAAAAAAAUUUAAGUAGAACAGUUUUUGAAUUUUAGCUCAAUAUCGAGUUUUGCAACUUUUUAAAAUAUGUAAUUCACUAAAAUUCAAAUAUAUUGCGUUUUGUUCAACCAAUUUUAAAUCUUUUUCCAUAAAUUAAAAGCUGAAUACAAUACCAUUCGAUCAUCUAAAUACAGGUUUUGCGUCAGAUUGGUAAAAUUCAAGAUAUUGACGAGUUUUAGGGACGAUCUUCUUAAAUUUUAGCAAAAUUCCCAAAAUUUUUUUGAAGAAAUGUAUUUUUUUUUCUAUAUGAAAAAACCAACUUAAAAAAUCUUUCUCGACGUUUAUUCGACAUAUCAUAUGUAGGCGAGUUACAGUAAAAAUUUCAGCUCAACCGGAGCAUUGAUUACGGAGAAUGAGGUGUUUGAAGUGAGCGACUUUGCUUAAAAAUAGAACAAAACUCUAUUUCAAAUCAUCAACCUUGUAUGGAAAGUCGAAAAAAAAUUCCGCUCUACUGUAAUUUUUUUUUCUUUCGCGUUUUCGAACUCAGGGCAUGAUUCUACACCAAAAAUGAUCAUCAGCUUACCGAGGUCAAAAAUGCUGUAAACUAGUGUUACCAGGUAACAGAACUUGUUAAUAUUUUGUUAUCCGCCUUUGCUCGGGCUUUCUACUGCUCCGAUAGCUGUUCGACUUUCUCGAACCGGUGGAGACAGGGGGACAUUUUUACCAGGCAUCUUGAAGAGCUCUAAUGCGAUAUCAUCCUCACUAGCUGAGUUGCUGUUUUAAGGCAUCCUUAACUUCCCUUAGCCUAGGAGUUUGUUCGUUUCCGUUCCGUGCUACACUGCGCAAGCCGGAUAAAUAGCCAUUUUGUCUGUUUUGCGAAUGGCAAUACCCAUGCUAGAAUAUUAGAAACGGUGAUAGAAGUCUACUUCCACCUGAAAUGCAGACCAGUAUGAUUGACAAGUUUUCGUGAGCAAUAUGAUCGUGUCUCUCUUUUUCAAAGAAUAGUCCACUUAAUAAUCCUUGAGUAAUUAUUAGUAAUACUAUUGUUUUGCUUGCUUUCAUUUACUAAGAUAAAGUAGACACGAGAUCCCCAAAUUGAUGAUACAUUUUCUGAGAACUCCCACCAGCACGUAACAAUAGACCAGUCUGCGCCAGCAGGAAAAAGUGAAUUGACAAAUAUAAUGAAAACAAUUGAAUGACGCCAGAAGAAAUCGUAGACUCGCUGAUAAGCAAUGCCUGGUAAGAUCCAGAAUAUAUACGACGGGUGUAGUAUAAUCACAAUCUGUCAACUGGUGGAACUCGUUUACCCCUCACUUGAGAAUGAAAGAUUAGAUAAUUUCUCAUAUUACUUGCUCGAAUUGCAACUCUUGAUGAGAGGUUGGAAAUCAUUAUUAUUGGAUAUAUUUUUGAUUUACGCUGUUUACCCCUUCACAAUCGCUCGCAUGGACCGUACUCAGACCCUACUGAUAUGGGGGUAUUGAUUGAGGAAACGACGAAAUCAAGCCGAAUUGAAACUCAUCAAACCGUUUAUUACUCAAUGGGUAAACAAUCACUAGUUGUAGUUCGAUAUUGACACAUAUUGGGAGGCAAAGACGGAAGUUUCCUGUAAACACGAACGCAUGGGAAAAUCCGCCGCUCGGCGGGCGAUAAAGCUUAUUACUACAUCGCGGGUACAGAUAAGAUUAGAAUAGUAAGUGCAGGUAAAUCAAAUUCAACGGCGUAUUUCAAACCCAAAAAAGGCGAUAGCACAGACAGACUGGAUACAGAUUUGUCGAUUGCCAGCCAGUUGAUAAAAAUAGAAAUUCCGAUGCACAACCGAACCGUAGUAACGUCACUCAGCCACGAUAAUCUCUGCACACGUGCUGUGUCGACCGACGCGGAUGGUAGGCCGGGAAUCCCGGGGGUGGUUGUGAGAACAUUUUGCCCAACUGCACGUCAUUAUAAGUAUCCGUUCGGACGAAUGGACGCAAUUGCAUGGCUCUAGCUUAAAUAUGAAUCUACCUGAUAGAUAGAACCCGAGCGAGCACUCAGCAGAGAGUAUAUACGAGCAAGCAGGCUUAAUGGUGGCCAAUUAGUGCGGAAUGCUGGUUGCUAUCUUAUCAAAACUUCGUCCACCACGGCACCCGUCCGAGCCAUCGCACAUCGGUCACACUACAUAUGUGGGUCGUUCCAUGCGAAAUCGGCCACGAGCUCUUAUCGGGUUCCACCCGAGUCUCCAGGUUUACUUUUAUUUACACUGCUUGACAUUUUUUCAAGAAAGUUCAAGCUAUGGUAUGAAACCCAAAAUUACCCAGUAGGUUCAAAAACUUUUCAGGAGGCGACCCCCCUAGCUACUGGGCUAACUUUUCACGACCCAUCAAGGAAAAAAUAAAACUUAAAUACUAAAAUAAUAAUUAAACUUUUUCAAUGAACGGAGAUAAACUGUGCAAUUUUAUGAUAUAAGAGGGAUUUACUUAACAGCGUGAAUCGCUGAUUAAAGAUAAUUCUUAUUAAACGAUUACCAAGGCAAUCUUUGAAUAUUUCAUUCGCAAUUGCUCUAAAACCCUUAAGUAUCAUCCAACAAACAUAACAAAAUAAAACCAUAAUCAAUACUUAAACCAAUAACGACUGAGUGUGACUGUCUCUCGCGACCCUUCCUUGGAAGUCCGGCGAUCCCCGGAGGGGGUCGCGACCCACAGUUUGGGAAACUAUAGAAUCGUAAUGAAGGAAUUUUUUGAAAAUGUUGCAACACAACUCCACGGUUUAAAAACAAUGUUUGAAUGGGGAACUAGUGGUGUUCAGUAAAAUAAAAGAAUUAUAUGUGACACAUUAGUUCUUUUUCAACCGUUUGAAUUUUAGAUGAUAUUAUGUUUUUACCUAGAAAUAUUAAAAAAAUAUAGUGUCUUUACAUGAAUCUUUGAAAAUCACAGAUUUUUUUUAUUGGAAAAGCUAUUUAAACAUCAGUCUGAUAACCCUUUAGUGACGAACAAGCACAAUAGUGCUGUUGAGCGAUAACAGUUUUGCAUAUUUUUUUUUCAUCUGUUUAGUCUUUGUUUCAUGUGAUGUAAACUGUUUUAUGCAAUUCAGUAUCAUAAUUUCUAUUUAAUACUACCCAUUUCAGUAUCAUAAUGACCUACUUUUUCGUACCGGUUCAUUAUACAACUGAAAUGAGUUGCAUAAUGAAAUAUAGUUGCAUUAUG